rnacentral:tRNA from 1 species
AGUUAAUGAACUUGUAUAAGUAUAUAUUUUGAAAAUAUAAAAAAGAAGCCUUAUCUUCUAUUAACUU